rnacentral:rRNA from 1 species
CCUACGGGUGGCAGCAGUGAGGAAUAUUGGUCAAUGGGCGGGAGCCUGAACCAGCCAAGCCGCGUGAGGGAAGAAGGUACAGCGUAUCGUAAACCUCUUUUGUCAGGGAACAAAGGCGGGGACUAGUCCCCGGAUGAGGGUACCUGAAGAAAAAGCAUCGGCUAACUCCGUGCCAGCAGCCGCGGUAAUACGGAGGAUGCGAGCGUUAUCCGGAUUUAUUGGGUUUAAAGGGUGCGCAGGCGGCCUGUUAAGUCAGCGGUAAAAGCCCGGGGCUCAACCCCGGCGAGCCGUUGAAACUGGCGGGCUGGAGUUGGAGAGAAGUACGCGGAAUGCGCGGUGUAGCGGUGAAAUGCUUAGAUAUCGCGCAGAACCCCGAUUGCGAAGGCAAGUGUCCGGGGUGCAACUGACGCUGAGGCUCGAAAGUGCGGGUAUCAAACAGGAUUAGAUACCCCAGUAGUC